UGGCGACCGGCGAACGGGUGAGUAACGCGUACGCAACUUACCUCCAAGCAAGGGAUAGCCCUGGGAAACUGGGAUUAAUACCUUAUGUGGUUACAAGAUGGCAUCAUCUAAUAACUAAAGUUUUGGCGCUUGGAGAUAGGCGUGCGUCCUAUUAGCUAGUUGGUAAGGUAGAGGCUUACCAAGGCUACGAUAGGUAGGGGGCGUGAGAGCGUGAUCCCCCACACGGGUACUGAGACACGGACCCGACUCCUACGGGAGGCAGCAGUAAGGAAUAUUGGACAAUGGGCGCAAGCCUGAUCCAGCCAUCCCGCGUGCAGGAUGACGGCCCUCUGGGUUGUAAACUGCUUUUAUAUGGGAAGAAACGUGCCGAUUUAUCGGCACCUGACGGUACCAUACGAAUAAGCACCGGCUAAUUCCGUGCCAGCAGCCGCGGUAAUACGGAAGGUGCAAGCGUUAUCCGGAAUCACUGGGUUUAAAGGGUGCGUAGGCGGGCUAAUAAGUCAGAGGUGAAAGCUCACCGCUUAACGGUGGAAUUGCCUUUGAUACUGUUGGUCUUGAAUUAGGUUGAGGUUGGCGGAAUGUGACAUGUAGCGGUGAAAUGCAUAGAUAUGUCAUAGAACACCAAUUGCGAAGGCAGCUGGCUAGACCUAUAUUGACGCUGAGGCACGAAAGCGUGGGGAGCGAACAGGAUUAGA
rnacentral:rRNA from 1 species